rnacentral:rRNA from 1 species
UACGGAGGGUGCAAGCGCUAUUCGGAAUCAUUGGGCGUAAAGGGCGCGUAGGCGGUUCGGUAAGUCGGGUGUGAAAGCCCCGGGCUCAACCCGGGAAGUGCAUCCGAAACUGCCGGACUUGAGUACGGGAGGGGGAAGUGGAAUUCCUGGUGUAGGGGUGAAAUCCGUAGAUAUCAGGAGGAACACCGGUGGCGAAGGCGACUUCCUGGACCGAUACUGACGCUGAGGCGCGAAAGCGUGUGGAGCAAACAGG